rnacentral:rRNA from 1 species
AUUGAACGCUGGCGGAAUGCUUUACACAUGCAAGUCGAACGGUAGAGGGGGCAACCUCUCGAGAGUGGCGAACGGGUGAGUAAUAUAUCGGAACGUGCCCAGUCGUGGGGGAUAACGUAGCGAAAGUUACGCUAAUACCGCAUACGAUCUACGGAUGAAAGCGGGGGACUCGCAAGAGCCUCGCGCGAUUGGAGCGGCCGAUAUCAGAUUAGGUAGUUGGUGGGGUAAAGGCUCACCAAGCCAACGAUCUGUAGCUGGUCUGAGAGGACGACCAGCCACACUGGAACUGAGACACGGUCCAGACUCCUACGGGAGGCAGCAGUGGGGAAUUUUGGACAAUGGACGCAAGUCUGAUCCAGCCAUUCCGCGUGCAGGAUGAAGGCCCUCGGGUUGUAAACUGCUUUUGUACGGAACGAAAAGGUUUCUAUUAAUACUAGGAGCUCAUGACGUACCGUAAGAAUAAGCACCGGCUAACUACGUG